rnacentral:ribozyme from 1 species
CUAGGCUGCUUCUAGAGAGUAGAAAGGACAGGAUACCACUUUUUAUUGUUUCUUUUUUGUUUCGUUUAUAUUGGA